rnacentral:tRNA from 1 species
UUUCACUAUAAAUAAAUUCAACUUUAUGAUUUUUGAAAAUUCUUGUUUAAUUUCUC